rnacentral:rRNA from 1 species
GGUUAAGCGACUAAGCGUACACGGUGGAUGCCCUGGCAGUCAGAGGCGAUGAAGGGCGUGCUAAUCUGCGAUAAGCGCCGGUAAGGUGAUAUGAACCGUUAUAACCGGCGAUACCCGAAUGGGGAAACCCAGUGUGAUUCGUCACACUAUCAUUAACUGAAUCCAUAGGUUAAUGAGGCGAACCGGGGGAACUGAAACAUCUAAGUACCCCGAGGAAAAGAAAUCAACCGAGAUUCCCCCAGUAGCGGCGAGCGAACGGGGAGGAGCCCAGAGCCUGAAUCAGCAUGUGUGUUAGUGGAAGCGUCUGGAAAGGCGCGCGAUACAGGGUGACAGCCCCGUACACAAAAGCGCAUGUGCUGUGAGCUCGAUGAGUAGGGCGGGACACGUGGUAUCCUGUCUGAAUAUGGGGGGACCAUCCUCCAAGGCUAAAUACUCCUGACUGACCGAUAGUGAACCAGUACCGUGAGGGAAAGGCGAAAAGAACCCCGGCUAGGGGAGUGAAAAAGAACCUGAAACCGUGUACGUACAAGCAGUGGGAGCACAGGUUUACCUGUGUGACUGCGUACCUUUUGUAUAAUGGGUCAGCGACUUAUAUUCUGUAGCAAGGUUAACCGAAUAGGGGAGCCGGAGGGAAACCGAGUCUUAAUUGGGCGUUAAGUUGCAGGGUAU